CAGUCGCCGCGGUAAUACGAAGGGUGCAAGCGUUACUCGGAAUUACUGGGCGUAAAGCGUGCGUAGGUGGUGGUUUAAGUCCGUUGUGAAAGCCCUGGGCUCAACCUGGGAAUUGCAGUGGAUACUGGAUCACUAGAGUGUGGUAGAGGAUAGUGGAAUUUCCGGUGUAGCAGUGAAAUGCGUAGAGAUCGGAAGGAACAUCUGUGGCGAAGGCGACUAUCUGGGCCAACACUGACACUGAGGCAUGAAAGCGUGGGGAGCAAACAGGAUUAGAUACCCGAGUAGUCCCUGUCUCUUAUAC
rnacentral:rRNA from 1 species